UUGAAUUGUGGCAGACUCGGCACUUGCGCGGAUGCAGAAUCAGGAGGAGUCUGCUCGUUGAAUUCGAGUGGCUGGCCACCGCCUUCCAUUCGCCCCCCCGCCCGUUGCUGCAGGAGUCCUCUCCCCCACUGACUGGAUACAUGAAGAAUUACCCGUAAACGACAUCUUCCCUGCAAUAAUGGGCCGCCAGCUAAUUACUGCGUUGACGUGUUGAUAUAAAGAUAUUUCAGAUAUCAAAUAUGAAUCAUGCAUUUGAUAUUUCUGGCAAAUUUGCUCGUGAGCAUUCUUGCGUCCUGGCUCCAUCCAUCCAUAGCGGCAAUUGUUUCUCAAGGAGGAGAGAAUGAGGUGGUUGAGAGGGACGCAGUGUCAUUAUUGUUGGAGCGAGAGGCAACUGCAGCAGCGGCCACAGACAACACAAGUCACCAUGCGGCUGAGCAUGUGAUCACCUACCCCUCUCGGCUCAUCUACUACCUGAACGAGGACUCAGAGAGCACUUACCAUGACCUGGACACCCGGGCUAGGAACCAGGCCACAGAGGGUCAUGAUCAGGCAGUCCACCUUGCUCAAGCCAGUUUCCAGUUAGAGGCCUUUGGCUCCAGAUUUGUACUGGACCUAACGUUAAACAAUGACUUGUUGUCGUCGGAUUAUGUGGAGAUCCACUAUGAAGAGGGUAAACCUGUUCUAUCAAAGGGUGGUGAGCACUGUUACUACCACGGCCAGGUGAGGGGGGAAGAUGACUCUAAUGUGGCCUUGUCUACCUGCAAUGGGCUGCACGGAAUGUUUGAUGAUGGACUCUAUGUGUAUCUAAUUGAGCCUUUGCAACAGACUCACUCAAUUGAUACAGCUGCACGACCCCACUCACUGAGCAGGAGGCCCACCCUCCAGAGGAACAAUGACCAAGAGGAACUGGUGGAGGAGGAGCAGCUGCUUUCGGAGCUGGAUGACAUGUCCUGGCUGAAGCGCAGGAAAAAGCGGGCUAUGCCUCGGAAUGUCUUUGAGGAAAUGAAGUAUUUGGAGAUUAUGAUUGUCAGUGACCACAAUAUGUAUAAGCGACACAAGGCCAAGCAGCACACCAGGAACUUUGCCAAGUCAGUGGUGAACUUUGUGGAUGCUGUCUUUAAGGAGCACCUGCACACACGGGUUGUUCUGGUUGCCGUGGAGAUAUGGACGGACAAGGACCACAUUCCCAUCAGUGUGAAGCCACUGGACAUGCUGAAAGAUUUCUCUAAGUACCGGGCGCAGAGCAUCAAGCAGCACGCUGACUCUGUGCACCUCUUCACCAAUGUGACCUUCCACUACCGCCGGAGCAGUGCAGCGUACUUCGGGGGCAUGUGCUCUGUGAGCCGUGGAGUAGGGGUCAACGAGUAUGGCACCACGUGGACCAUGGCUUCAUCACUCUCCCAGAGCUUGGCACAGAACCUAGGCAUCCAGUGGGAUCCAGCCGCCAAGAGAAAGGAAUGUGGCUGUGCUGACUCCUGGGUGGGCUGCAUCAUGGAGGAUACUGGGGUCCAGCAUCCCCGGAUGUUCUCCAAAUGCAGCAUCUCAGACUACAAGGAAUUCCUGCUGAAAGGCGGUGGAUCCUGUCUUUUUAACAGGCCAAACAAGCUGUUUGAAUCCACAGAGUGUGGGAAUGGAUACAUUGAGGUGGGAGAGGAGUGUGACUGUGGAGCUAGAUCCGAGUGCUACAAGGAGUGCUGCAAGAAGUGUUCCCUAGCUAAUGGUGCACAUUGUGCUGAUGGACCUUGCUGCAACAACACUUGUCUGUUCUACCCGCGAGGUUAUAGUUGUCGCUAUGCGGUGAAUGACUGUGACAUCUCAGAGACAUGCUCAGGAGACUCUGGCCAGUGCCCUCCUAACCUUCACAAACAAGAUGGCUACCACUGUCAAGUCGACCAGGGACGCUGCUACGGUGGAGAGUGCAAGACCAGGGGGAACCAGUGCAAAUACCUCUGGGGUUCAAAGGCGGGAGGCUCCGAGAAGUUCUGCUAUGAGAAGCUCAAUACAGAGGGAACAGAGAAGGGAAACUGUGGGAAGGAUGGAGAGAAAUGGCUCCAGUGCAGCAAGCACGAUGUGUUCUGUGGGUCCCUGCUGUGCAGCAACAUAGGACGCAACCCCCGCAUCGGGAUAAUGAAGGGAGACAUCACCCCCACCUCCUUCAACCAUCAGGGCAGGCUGGUGGACUGCAGUGGUGGCCACGUUCUUUUGGACGAUGAGACUGAUUUAGGCUACGUGGAGGACGGGACGCCCUGUGGGCCGUCCAUGAUGUGUCUUGACCGCAAGUGUCUGCCCAUCCAGUCCCUCAACAUGAGCACCUGCCCCAGCGGGCCCAACAGCCAGGUGUGCUCAGCCCACGGGGUGUGUAACAAUGAGGCGACGUGCACCUGUGACACUACAUGGGCGGGGACAGACUGCAGCAUGCCUGACCCCCCCAAGGAGCCUGCACCCGCAGAAGAUGAAGGACCAAAGGGUCCUAGUGCCACCAAUCUUAUAAUAGGCUCCAUCGCCGGAGCCAUCCUGGUAGCUGCCAUAGUGCUGGGGGGGACUGGAUGGGGCUUUAAGGUUCAAGGGUGAGAGUUUAAGCGGAAGUGGUGAGAGAGAAGCCAGGGCCAUAUUGUUGGCCGCAGCCUUUGUGCCAUGGCUGGCCACACCCACCUGGAUGGCCAGGCUCCGCCCUAGAGCAGAGCAGGACUCCUGGACCCGCCCACACCAGCUGCCAUUGCUGCCUGCUUCACAGACCUGAAAUGUGAAGAAGCGACGGUACGACCCCAACGCCAGUGCCAUAUAAGGCCGGAGGAGAGGUCGAAGGGCACAGAGGGAUCCUCUGGACUGCACUUACAGCUGCUGAUUUUUGGCAUUAGAUUUACUUGAAAAAGAAAUAGAGGACAAUUUAACAAAUUCCAUCUUAGUCAUGUAGAAAUGCAGCCUUUUUCAACCCCACCCACCUAACAACCCCAUCCUGAUCUCUAGAGCCACAGAACUCCUCUCCUUUUCCUUUCAUCGUUAGUGCCAGUGCACAGGCGUUCAGGCGGAACUCACACCAUUGUAUUCUCUCACCAGGCAUGAUUUCCCGCACAGAGCGUGCAGCUCGCUGGCUCUGGCAUGAGGGGCCCUCGCUAAAGGACUUUGCAUGGCUACCAAAGCUAUGAACGACACACAGCAAAUCAAAAAAAAGAAGAAGAGAGAAAUCACUACUGAAUCGUCAAAUGGAGGAGAUAGCCUCAUUAAAAAACAAACCCGGUGGUACGCUGAAAAGGCUCCUCCUCCUUAGGUCACCAAAAUGAGAGGGAUAGGGCUGCAUGCUAGAACCCAAAUGGGAAAUGCAGACCACAUUCAAUAAAUUUAAGUAUAUAUCGGGCAACAUUGUACAUAAAAGAGGAGAACGAGUUCAGAUUCUGAAUUAUAACAUAUCAUUUUACACUGACACACUCUGCUUCUGUUUUAUCUUUAAGCAUGUUGUAUAGCGGGUGUUUUUGGCAAUGUUAAUGAAAAACAGUAACACAAUUAUGAUUUGGACCAAAAUGCUAUGGAUAACCAGACAAUGUCAUAAUCUGUCUAUUAGGUGUUACCACACGCUACAUUCUGUAUUUAUCCAAUAUAGAGGUCACGGGUCAGGUUCAGUAUACACAGUACAGAUGAGAGGUCAGAUUUAGGGGUCUACAUGUGUCUUCUCUAGAGGUCAGGGCACAGCGAUGAUGACAGAAAGAUAGAUCGCAGAUUAUCCAGUCUAUGACUGACGUCAUGGGGUUCCUUAAGUACUUCCAGUAGUGACUCAAAAGCCAAAGAAUCAAUCACGUGGAAUGUCUGGAUGUUGUCGCACACAGAGCACUUUCCCCUUUGUCUGCAAUCUGUGUGCCUCUCUCUCCCAGUGCUGCAGACAGGCAUGCAGUGUGUCCCUGCAGAUUAGUCCCACCUGUGUUAUCAGGUGGUGUCACUAUUUAACAGUCCUCAUCAACACCCACUAUACUGGCUAGCUUGGCGCUCUCCAUAAACUCUUACUAGAAAUCAAGUUCAGCUCUACUGGUACGCUGCAUGCAUUCACACUAUAGUGGGCUUAUAAUUCUAUAAGGGAGUCCCAAAAUCCGCAAGCUAAAAUACGCUACAAAAGAUAGGUGCAUGUCAACAAACAAAACAUUUAACUUUUAUUUCUAUGCAAAGAAAGAUAUUGCACAAACUUAUGGGUUAUUAAAUGUAAUAAUGAUAUCAGUAUAAACAUGGAACAAAAACCUUUGCGAAUCAGACAACCUUUUGUAUUCGGCCACUCCCACAUCUUGUUUCAUUUAGCUUCAAAGUACUGAAAUAAAGAAUGGAAAAGCAUAAUUGAAUUCAUAUGUCCAAGUGAAAAGUGAAAGAACAUCCUUUUACGUUUGUGGAAUCGAAGGAAAAUAUUAUUUUUGUGUGUUUUUCCACCAAUCUAAGAUGACAUUUCUAAUCUGACAUACUGUAUGUGCCGAGGCCUCAACAGGUUACUUUUCCAGGACUUUAGUUUCCAGCCCAGCUGACAGACAGACAGUUGGUGUGUUCCAGGUGCUGCCAUAGCACUGGCAUUGUGUAAACCUCCAUAUUAGUCAUCAUCUCGUGUCCCUAUCAACACUGCAUCAUGUACAGUUGGACCGACGAAUAAACUACUGAAGUAUUUUA